GAUCAGAGGACAGAGGAGGGCGGUGCGUAGCAGGGAAUGGAGGGACGGGAGAAGGAGAGGGGAAGUGGGGAAGGCGGGAUGGGAUCAGAAAACAGAGGCGGGCAGU